GGCACACAGUCCACAACCGACUGGCAGCCAUGAAGAUCCUGUACCUGCUCUUUGCUGUUCUCCUCUUCCUCUUCCAGGCUGCUCCAGGUUCUGCAGAUCCUAUUUUUGCUGACACCGCAGAGUGCAGGAGCCAGGGAAAUUUCUGCCGUGCUGGGGCAUGCCCACCCACCUUCGCUGCCUCGGGGUCGUGCCACGGGGGGCUGCUGAAAUGCUGUUCGAAGAUUUUGGCAAAGUAAGCAGAGAAGGCUUUCCUGGGUCAGUGUCCUUGUACCAGCAACAUUUCCACUGCCUUGAGGAGGCGAUUUUGAUGGAUUCCUCCUCUAUCUAAACCCUCCUGCAAAUGAGCAUUAAAAGAAGCUUCCAGAGGGCACAUCCUGUUAGCACACCGCUUCUGGAGAUCCAGGUUUUUCCUCGCUGAAGUCACUCCCUUUUUUGCUUUUAAUACACAAGCCACUUCGGCACCUUGGCCACCUAUUCCAGCCUACCUCACGGGGAUGUUUGGAUGUUCAAUCAGUUCAGGUUCAUGCAGCUCUUGGAGGAUGUGAAGCAACAAAUAUAUUAUUAUUUUAUUCACACACAAAAAUAAAUGUUGUCUUAAACCAA